ensembl:lncRNA
GUUUUUUUUCCUUGUUUCUUUUUUUUUUUUACCUUACAUCCUAAUAAGCCCCUCAUCCCUCUUCUCCUCCCAGUUCAACACUUACAAAUCCUUCCCCCACUACCUCCUCCUCCUCCCUUCUUCUUAGAGAAGGGGAAGUCCCACUUGGGUACUGCCACACCCUGGAACCUCCCAUUCAUAGCAAGACUAAGCGCAUCCUCUCCCACCGAGGCACAAACAGGCCGUCCAGUUAGGGGAAGAAGAACCAAUAGCAGGCAACAGAGUUGGCAACAAUCUCUACUCCAAUUGUUAGGGGACUCACAUGAAGACCAAUUAGCACAUCUGCUACUAUGUGUAGGAGGCCUAGGUCUAGCUCCCUGUAUGCUCUUUGUUUGCUGGUUCAAUCUCUGUGAGCCCCUGUGAGUCCCAGUUAGUUGACUCUGUAGUAGAAGACUAAAAUGUUUUAUAGGUCAAUAUGGAUGGAUAAGUGCAUGUGCAAAGAACUCUAACUUCUAUGAAAUUUACAAUGCCAUGAAAACACUUCAGCAAAGAUUUUGGCAUACUAUUUACAAUGUCUUGAACACCAUUCCUCACAGAACAGGCGUGAUGGAAAUCCCUUAGUAACUGAAGAGGCAUCGGCAUGAAGGAGGAGAAAUACUUGCUUACUGUAUUGUUUGUAAGGAAAAAAACCUCUUAACUGAGCUUAAAAAUCCGGUUGCGAGCCAAGAAUUGCAUGUUCCAGGAACACGCCUCUUCCUGUCACCAUAUCAAGGCCAAAGAGGUGAUUCUGCCUGCAUGAUGUCCUCCUUGCUGGAGGCGAGCUCUUUGCAGGCGCCACAUCGCGAUCAAAAAGAGAAAGAAAAAAAGAAAAGAAAACGUGGAAGAAGCAGCCAGGAGCUGGGGACCGAACCCAGGGCCUUGCACUUGCUAGGCAAGCGCUCUACCACUGAGCUAAAUCCCCAACCCCCAUCACCUAACUUUUAAACCAAGAAAUGUAGUGUCUUUUUUGCUGCUUGUGUAGCUUUUAGUGAUGUAUCUUAUCUCCUAUUACAUCCUUUGUUUCCAUGAUAGUUGUUUUCAAGUAUAUAUGAUUACCGAUCCUUUUUGUAGACCUAUUCAAUAUUUCUGCUUUUAUUGGUUAAAUAUAUUUAGUGAAUUUGCAUUGUGAUAUCAGUAAAAUUCUAUGUGAAUGUUUUAGAGAAUAUACCGGUUUGUGUAAUUUCCCCUCAAGGAUUUUUGGUGGCCUGUAUUCACAUUUAAAAGACUCGAAUUUAUACCAUCCAGAGCAGGAUUGAUAGGGAAGCACAAUGGACAGUGACAGUGUUGUUCCCGUUGACAGUUGUGGGAGCCAAGAAAGAAGUGUGACUUGCAUAUUUGCGACUAACAAAAUCGAGACUGAGUAUCAUUACUGUUGAAGCCCAUGUAAAAAAUGAUGAAAUUUUCAGAAAUCACCAGUUAAGAAAUCGUAGUGUUGCUUAAAUGGAAUCUGAGUUUCAAAGUUAUGUUUCAUUUUUCUUUAUUCCUUAAUGAAGCUUUUUAUUAAGUUUUUUAUUCACCAUUUCACCCUUAGAUGCACAGUGGUAAGAUCAUAGUAGGUGCUCAAUAAAUCACUUAACCAUCAGGGCAGAGGAAUGGUAAGAAAGUAUGUAUUUUCUAUACGUUCUGUUAGUUUUGGGAACAGGUGGUUUUAGGUUUACCAGUCAUAUCUUGGUAUCUUGUCCCACAUAAGACAACUUGACAGAAUCCCCUUUCUGGCCAUUAUGUUCAAGUUAUUUUUGUCUUAAGCCUUCUUGAAAAUCAUGGAAGUAGUGUAGAAACUUGAUUGUACCUGCAAUAUAGCAAAAAAGGUCAGUCUAGAUAGGUAAGCAGUUAUGUUUCUCCAUGAACUGAUGUCUUAAAACAUGUAAAUUUUAGGAAUUUAGUGUUGUGUUUUCUAAAGAUACAUCAUACAACAUACAGAUAACAUUGUAAUAGAAUAAAG